ACAUGCAGUCGAACGAUGAAGCCCUUCGGGGUGGAUUAGUGGCGAACGGGUGAGUAACACGUGGGCAAUCUGCCCUUCACUCUGGGACAAGCCCUGGAAACGGGGUCUAAUACCGGAUAACACCGGCUUCCGCAUGGAAGCUGGUUGAAAGCUCCGGCGGUGAAGGAUGAGCCCGCGGCCUAUCAGCUUGUUGGUGGGGUAAUGGCCUACCAAGGCGACGACGGGUAGCCGGCCUGAGAGGGCGACCGGCCACACUGGGACUGAGACACGGCCCAGACUCCUACGGGAGGCAGCAGUGGGGAAUAUUGCACAAUGGGCGAAAGCCUGAUGCAGCGACGCCGCGUGAGGGAUGACGGCCUUCGGGUUGUAAACCUCUUUCAGCAGGGAAGAAGCGAAAGUGACGGUACCUGCAGAAGAAGCGCCGGCUAACUACGUGCCAGCAGCCGCGGUAAUACGUAGGGCGCAAGCGUUGUCCGGAAUUAUUGGGCGUAAAGAGCUCGUAGGCGGCUUGUCACGUCGGGUGUGAAAGCCCGGGGCUUAACCCCGGGUCUGCAUCCGAUACGGGCAGGCUAGAGUGUGGUAGGGGAGAUCGGAAUUCCUGGUGUAGCGGUGAAAUGCGCAGAUAUCAGGAGGAACACCGGUGGCGAAGGCGGAUCUCUGGGCCAUUUACUGACGCUGARGAGCGAAAGCGUGGGGAGCGAACAAGGAUUAGAUACCCUGGGUAGUCCACGCCGUAAACGUUGGGAACUAGGUGUUGGCAACAUUCCMCGUCGUCGGUGCCGCAGCUAACGCAUWAAGUUCCCCGCCUGGGGAGGACGGCCCCAAGGCUAAAACUCAANGGAAUUGACGGGGGCCCGCCCAAGCAGCGGARCAUGGUGGCU
rnacentral:rRNA from 1 species